rnacentral:lncRNA from 1 species
CAAUGAAAUAGAUGAAGUUCUUAAAUAUUACCCACAAGGACAUCAUGGAGUUGAUAAGGAUGGAAGACCUGUUUACAUUGAAAAAUUGGGCCAGGUUGACUCUAACAAGCUGUUGCAAGUAACGAGUAUGGAACGUUAUCUCAAGUACCAUGUUAGGGAGUUUGAGAGGACAUUCAAUGUUAAGUUGCCUGCAUGUUCAAUCGCUGCAAAGAAACACAUUGACCAAAGCACAACUAUUUUGGAUGUGCAAGGAGUGGUAUGUAUAAAAUUUGACUCCUACUUUUCCUCUCCAAUCCCUAUGCCCACAGAAAAACCAAUCAGACUAAUGAACUAUUGUAACACCUUAAAUUAUAGUCAUCAUAAUUUUAAUGAGGCAUUUUAAUACCAUAUCCAUCGUUAUGUAUGCUUUUAAUAUGUAAACAAGUUUCAUAUCAAUGCUUUCCCAGGGUCUUAAAAGUAUGAACAAAACUGCAAGGGAUCUCCUCCAGCGACUUCAGAAGAUUGAUGGUGACAACUAUCCUGAGGUACAGGUUUAUAUAACUGCAUAUGCAUGUAAUAUCAAUGGUUUUUGUUCCCUCCCUAUAUCUAGCUUAAAUGGCCUUCUGAACUUGCCCUAACUGAACUUUCCUUUCUAUGCAGUCGCUUAACCGCAUGUUCAUCAUCAAUGCUGGCUCUGGAUUUAGGCUCUUGUGGAAUACUAUUAAGUCAUUCCUUGAUCCCAAGACCACCUCAAAAAUCCAUGUAAGCAAUUAUAAUCUACUUAUCAAUUUAAAUGAAGUUUGAUUUCAGUUAUGUUGGGACAAUGAACAAAUUAGUGAUUUAAUAACCAGGUCCUGGGUAACAAAUACCAGAGCAAGUUGCUUGAAAUCAUUGAUGCCAGGUUGAACUUUUCUCCUUUCCGCUUGAAUUAUUUUACCACAUACACAUCUACAUAGAAAAUUAGGCUAUCAAUUCUAAGGUCACGCUGUGAAAUAAUGUAGAAUUGAGUAAUGUGAACUCUUUUAUGUUGUUCCAAUAUGAAAAUAUAUAACAUUACUCAACUAUGUAAGUAAUACCUAAUAUUUCUUUCUUAUUUAUCAGUGAACUUCCAGAGUUCUUGGGUGGUACUUGCACUUGUGCAGAUAAAGGUGGUUGUAUGCUUUCUAACAAGGGACCAUGGGAUGACCCAGAGAUCUUGAAGGUAGUUUAUUGCUGAAAGAUCAAUUUCUUUAGUCAUCUAAUAUAUCAAUGGAAAAACAAUGAACUAAUAAAUAAUUCCUCUGAAUCAUUUAGAUGGUUCAAAAUGGCAAGGGAAAAGCCAAAAGAAAAAGCUUAUCCGAGCUUAACGAAAAAACAAUCACAGAAGAUGAAACAGCACACCAAAAGGUAGUCCAUUUCAUACUUUGGACAUUUCAUGAAAGUGAACAUUCUGAGGAUGAAAAGAAGAAAAGGAUGGGGUCAUUUAAGAAGGCGGCUAUCAGUGCCUCGAGUAAGUUCAAGCAUUCCUUUGCAAAGAGGGGGCGCAAACACAGCAGGGUUAUGUCUAUUUCUAUUGAGGAUGAAAUCGAUACAGAAGAGCUCAUGGCGGUUGAUGCUUUUCGCCAAGUGCUUAUCUUGGAAGAGCUAUUGCCCUCAAAACAUGAUGAUCAUCAUAUGAUGCUAAGGUAGGUGCUUGUCACAUGGUUUCUUACUCAUUCAUUUAUUUAUGGGGAAUGCUAAUCAGUGCUUUAGAAAAACUUGAUUUUUAAUGGACUUAAUAGAUUCAGAAGUGGUUUAUUUUGUCUACUGAUAAAAACUUGUAUUCAUGAUUCCUUAGCCGGUGCCCUCGGAGUUAAGGGAUUUGGGUAGCAAGAUCCUUUAUUUACUUAUAGUUGUAGCAUGACUAGCUUCAUUUGAUGCCUUAAUUGAGAAUUUCUAAUUGUCCUAUAAUUUCAAUGUACUAUGACCCAGAUUCUUGAAAGCUAGGAAGUUUGACAUUGAGAAAACAAAACAAAUGUGGUCAGAUAUGCUGAAGUGGAGGAAUGAAUUUGGUGCUGAUACUAUCAUGGAGGUAUUGCUGUGGCAAAAAGAAGAGUCACUUUUCAUGUUAUGUUCUUCUGUAUAACUUCUUCCUUAAAUUUCUAACCAAACAUUUUUGUGUUGUUAAGGAUUUUGAAUUCAAUGAAAUAGAUGAAGUUCUUAAAUAUUACCCACAAGGACAUCAUGGAGUUGAUAAGGAUGGAAGACCUGUUUACAUUGAAAAAUUGGGCCAGGUUGACUCUAACAAGCUGUUGCAAGUAACGAGUAUGGAACGUUAUCUCAAGUACCAUGUUAGGGAGUUUGAGAGGACAUUCAAUGUUAAGUUGCCUGCAUGUUCAAUCGCUGCAAAGAAACACAUUGACCAAAGCACAACUAUUUUGGAUGUGCAAGGAGUG